GAUGAUGAGUCAGACUCUGGAAAAAGGAAAAAGCGGGGCAGAUCAAAGAGGAGGAGUGGGAAGAAGAAAGGACAGAGUGAUUCGGAGGAUGAUGAUGAAGAUAAGGAUCACAGGAAGAGGAGAAAGGAUAAGAGGAGGAAACGGGAUGGCUCAUCAGACGAGGAUGAAGAUCAUAGGAGGAUGAGAAAAAGUAGGAAGGAGAAGAGGAGGAGGAGAAGUCAUAGACAUGCGGACAGUUCUGAUGAAUCAAGUGAUGAUUCUCCUCCACGGC
rnacentral:lncRNA from 1 species